UAGGGAAUAUUAGUAAUGGGCGAAAGCCUGAACUAGCAACGCCGCGUGUGCGAAGAAGGCCUUCGGGUUGUAAAACGCUUUUCGGGGAGAUGAGGAAGGACAGUAUCCCCGGAAUAAGGCUCGGCUAACUACGUGCCAGCAGCCGCGGUAACACGUAGGAGCCAAGCGUUAUCCGAAUUCACUGGGCGUAAAGCGCGUGUAGGCGGCUUGGUAAGUUGGAUGUGAAAGCUCCUGGCUCAACUGGGAGAGGACGUUCAAUACUGCCGGGCUAGAGGGCGACAGAGGGAGGUGGAAUUCCCGGUGUAGUGGUGAAAUGCGUAGAUAUCGGGAGGAACACCAGUGGCGAAAGCGGCCUCCUGGGUCGCACCUGACGCUCAGACGCGAAAGCUAGGGGAGCGAACGG
rnacentral:rRNA from 1 species